rnacentral:rRNA from 1 species
AUUGAACGCUGGCGGCAUGCUUUACACAUGCAAGUCGAACGGCAGCGCGGGCUUCGGCCUGGCGGCGAGUGGCGAACGGGUGAGUAAUGCAUCGGAACGUGCCCAGUAGUGGGGGAUAGCCCGGCGAAAGCCGGAUUAAUACCGCAUACGACCUGAGGGUGAAAGCGGGGGACCGAAAGGCCUCGCGCUAUUGGAGCGGCCGAUGUCGGAUUAGCUAGUUGGUGGGGUAAAGGCUUACCAAGGCGACGAUCCGUAGCUGGUCUGAGAGGACGACCAGCCACACUGGGACUGAGACGCGGCCCAGACGCCUACGGGAGGCAGCAGUGGGGAAUUUUGGACAAUGGGGGCAACCCUGAUCCAGCCAUGCCGCGUGCGGGAAGAAGGCCUUCGGGUUGUAAACCGCUUUUGUUCGGGAAGAAAUCCUCUGGGCUAAUACCCCGGGGGGAUGACGGUACCGGAAGAAUAAGCACCGGCUAACUACGU